rnacentral:snRNA from 1 species
AUACUUACCUGGCGUAGGGGAUACCGUGAUCAUGCAGGCGGUUCCCCCAGGGCGAGGCUGCUCCAUUGCACUGCGGAGUGGUUGACCCUUGUGAAUAUUAUUAUUUUUAUCAAUAAAAAAAAGUGUGUGUGUCCGCUCCGACGCACG